AUGCUCACUUUGGCAGCACAUACACUCAAAUAGAAAUAACAGAGAAAAGGUUAGCAUGGCCCCUGUGCAAGAAAAAACUUUUUUUCAUUUCCUUUUUUUU
ensembl:snRNA U6 U6 spliceosomal RNA